rnacentral:misc_RNA from 1 species
GAUGAAGAACGUAGCGAAAUGCGAUAAGUAGUGUGAAUUGCAGAAUUCAGUGAAUCAUCGAAUCUUUGAACGCACAUUGCGCCCUUUGGUAUUCCUUAGGGCAUGCCUGUUCGAGCGUCAUUUAAACCUUCAAGCUCAGCUUGGUGUUGGGUGACUGUCCGCUUCACCGCGGACUCGCCUCAAAAUUAUUGGCGGCCGGUACAUUGGCUUCGAGCGCAGCAGAAACGCGAACUCGGGCCCGUCGUAUUGGCUCCCAGAAGCUAUCUUCACAAUUUUGACCUCGGAGCAGGUAGGGAUACCCGCUGAACUUAAGCAUAUCAAUAAGCGGAGGA